rnacentral:rRNA from 1 species
AAUCAACGCUGGCGGCGUGCCUAACACAUGCAAGUCGAACGCGAAAGUCCCGCAAGGGAUCGGUAGAGUGGCAAACGGGUGAGUAACACGUGGGUGACCUGCCUUCGAGUGGGGGAUAACGUCCCGAAAGGGACGCUAAUACCGCAUAACAUGCUGCCUUUUAAGAGGCGGACAGCAAAGCUGGGGAUCGCAAGACCUAGCGCUUGAAGAGGGGCCCGCGUCCGAUUAGCUAGUUGGUGGGGUAACGGCUCACCAAGGCAACGAUCGGUAGCCGGCCUGCGAGGGAGGACGGCCACACUGGGACUGAGACACGGCCCAGACUCCUACGGGAGGCAGCAGUGGGGAAUUGUGCGCAAUGGGGGAAACCCUGACGCAGCAACGCCGCGUGAGUGAUGAAGGCCCUUGGGUCGUAAAGCUCUGACAGAGGGAAAGAAAUGUGGGUGGCUAAUAUCCAUACCACUUGACGGUACCCUCAAAGGAAGCACCGGCUAACUCCGUGCCAGCCGCCGCGGUAAUAC